rnacentral:tRNA from 1 species
AUACAUUCUAGUAGCUUAACUUACAAAGC